rnacentral:rRNA from 1 species
CGCCAGACUCCUACGGGAGGCAGCAGUGGGGAAUAUUGCACAAUGGGGGAAACCCUGAUGCAGCGACGCCGCGUGAGUGAAGAAGUAUUUCGGUAUGUAAAGCUCUAUCAGCAGGGAAGAAGAAGGACGGUACCUGAGUAAGAAGCCCCGGCUAACUACGUGCCAGCAGCCGCGGUAAUACGUAGGGGGCAAGCGUUAUCCGGAUUUACUGGGGGUAAAGGGAGCGUAGACGGCGAUGCAAGCCAGAUGUGAAAGCCCGGGGCUCAACCCCGGGACUGCAUUUGGAACUGUGUGGCUGGAGUGUCGGAGAGGCAGGCGGAAUUCCUAGUGUAGCGGUGAAAUGCGUAGAUAUUAGGAGGAACACCAGUGGCGAAGGCGGCCUGCUGGACGAUGACUGACGUUGAGGCUCGAAAGCGUGGGGAGCAAACAGGAUUAGAUACCCUCGUAC